UUAAUGAUACGGCGACCACCGAGAUCUACACUCUUUCCCUACACGACGCUCUUCCGAUCUCCUAGCAGUAUCCUGAGUACGGCGAGACACGUGGAAUCUCGUCGGAAUCUGGGAGGACCAUCUCCCAACCCUAAAUACUCCCUAGUGACCGAUAGUGAACCAGUACCGUGAGGGAAAGGUGAAAAGCACCCCGGGAGGGGAGUGAAAUAGAACCUGAAACCGUGUGCCUACAACAAGUUCGAGCCCGUUAAUGGGUGAGAGCGUGCCUUUUGUAGAAUGAACCGGCGAGUUACGAUAUGAUGCGAGGUUAAGUUGAAGAGACGGAGCCGUAGGGAAACCGAGUCUUAAUAGGGCGCAUUAGUAUCAUGUCGUAGACCCGAAACCAUGUGACCUACCCAUGAGCAGGUUGAAGGUGCGGUAAGACGCACUGGAGGACCGAACCAGGGCACGUUGAAAAGUGCUUGGAUGACUUGUGGGUAGCGGAGAAAUUCCAAUCGAACUUGGAGAUAGCUGGUUCUCUCCGAAAUAGCUUUAGGGCUAGCGUCGACAUAAAGAUUCUUGGAGGUAGAGCACUGUUUGGGUGAGGGGUCCAUCCCGGAUUACCAAUCUCAGAUAAACUCCGAAUGCCAAUGAAUUAUGGUCGGCAGUCAGACUGCGAGUGCUAAGAUCCGUAGUCGAAAGGGAAACAGCCCAGACCACCAGCUAAGGUCCCAAAAUAAUUGUUAAGUGGAAAAGGAUGUGGGGUUGCACAGACAACUAGGAUGUUAGCUUAGAAGCAGCUAUUCAUUCAAAGAGUGCGUAAUAGCUCACUAGUCGAGUGACCCUGCGCCGAAAAUGUACCGGGGCUAAAACAAUUUACCGAAGCUGUGGAUACCUUUAUAGGUAUGGUAGGAGAGCGUUCUAUGUGUGAAGAAGGUAUACCGUGAGGAGUGCUGGAACGCAUAGAAGUGAGAAUGCCGGUAUGAGUAGCGAAAGACAGGUGAGAAUCCUGUCCACCGUAAGACUAAGGUUUCCAGGGGAAGGCUCGUCCGCCCUGGGUUAGUCGGGACCUAAGGAGAGACCGAAAGGUGUAUCCGAUGGACAACAGGUUGAUAUUCCUGUACUAGAGUAUGUAGUGAUGGAGGGACGCAGUAGGCUAACUAAAGCAGACGAUUGGAAGAGUCUGUCUAAGCAGUGAGGUGUGAAUUGAGUUAAAUGCUUAGUUCUAUAACAUUGAGCUGUGAUGGGGAGCGAAGUUUAGUAGCGAAGUUAGUGACGUCACACUGCCAAGAAAAGCUUCUAGCGUUUAAACAUACUCUACCCGUACCGCAAACCGACACAGGUAGUCGAGGCGAGUAGCCUCAGGUGAGCGAGAGAACUCUCGUUAAGGAACUCGGCAAAAUGACCCCGUAACUUCGGGAGAAGGGGUGCUGACUUUAAGUCAGCCGCAGUGAAUAGGCCCAAGCAACUGUUUAUCAAAAACACAGCUCUCUGCUAAAUCGUAAGAUGAUGUAUAGGGGGUGACGCCUGCCCGGUGCUGGAAGGUUAAGAGGAGUGCUUAGCGCAAGCGAAGGUAUGAAUUGAAGCCCCAGUAAACGGCGGCCGUAACUAUAACGGUCCUAAGGUAGCGAAAUUCCUUGUCGGGUAAGUUCC
rnacentral:rRNA from 1 species